rnacentral:rRNA from 1 species
GAGCGGCGGACGGGUGAGUAAUGCCUGGGGAUCUGCCCGAUAGAGGGGGAUAACUACGGGAAACUGUAGCUAAUACCGCAUAAUGUCUACGGACCAAAGUGGGGGCUCUUCGGACCUCAUGCUAUCGGAUGAACCCAGGUGGGAUUAGCUAGUUGGUGAGGUGAUGGCUCACCAAGGCGACGAUCUCUAACUGGUUUGAGAGAAUGACCAGUCACACUGGAACUGAGACACGGUCCAGACUCCUACGGGAGGCAGCAGUGGGGAAUAUUGCACAAUGGGCGAAAGCCUGAUGCAGCAACGCCGCGUGAGCGAUGAAGGCCUUCGGGUCGUAAAGCUCUGUCCUCAAGGAAGAUAAUGACGGUACUUGAGGAGGAAGCCCCGGCUAACUACGUGCCAGCAGCCGCGGUAAUACGUAGGGGGCUAGCGUUAUCCGGAAUUACUGGGCGUAAAGGGUGCGUAGGCGGUCUUUUAAGCCAGAAGUGAAAGGCUACGGCUCAACCGUAGUAAGCUUUUGGAACUGUAGGACUUGAGUGCAGGAGAGGAGAGUGGAAUUCCUAGUGUAGCGGUGAAAUGCGUAGAUAUUAGGAGGAACACCAGUAGCGAAGGCGGCUCUCUGGACUGUAACUGACGCUGAGGCACGAAAGCGUGGGGAGCAAACAGGAUUAGAUACCCUGGUAGUCCACGCUGUAAACGAUGAGUACUAGGUGUCGGGGGUUACCCCCCUCGGUGCCGCAGCUAACGCAUUAAGUACUCCGCCUGGGAAGUACGCUCGCAAGAGUGAAACUCAAAGGAAUGGACGGGGACCCGCACAAGUAGCGGAGCAUGUGGUUUAAUUCGAAGCAACGCGAAGAACCUUACCUAAGCUUGACAUCCCAUUGACCUCUCCCUAAUCGGAGAUUUCCCUUCGGGGACAGUGGUGACAGGUGGUGCAUGGUUGUCGUCAGCUCGUGUCGUGAGAUGUUGGGUUAAGUCCCGCAACGAGCGCAACCCUUGCCUUUAGUUGCCAGCAUUAAGUUGGGCACUCUAGAGGGACUGCCGAGGAUAACUCGGAGGAAGGUGGGGAUGACGUCAAAUCAUCAUGCCCCUUAUGCUUAGGGCUACACACGUGCUACAAUGGGUGGUACAGAGGGUUGCCAAACCGUGAGGUGGAGCUAAUCCCUUAAAGCCAUUCUCAGUUCGGAUUGUAGGCUGAAACUCGCCUACAUGAAGCUGGAGUUACUAGUAAUCGCAGAUCAGAAUGCUGCGGUGAAUGCGUUCCCGGGUCUUGCACACACCGCCCGUCA